rnacentral:lncRNA from 1 species
UUCCUCCUACCUCAUACUAUUUUUUCUUGAUUAUUUUUCAGAGGAUGAUGUGAUCUAUGAGGAGGUGCAGAGGUCUGGCGAGCCCGGGCUGAUAGACAACGGCUGGGGCUCCAGUGAGUUUGAGAGUUACGAUGAGCAGUCAGACAGCGAGACCAAGCAGCCCACUCGCAAUAAGGUUCAACAGCUCAUGAAAGCAGCUAGGAAUGGCACGAAAGAUGGACUGGAAAAGACCAAAAUAGCCAUGAUGCGUAAAGUGUCCUUCCUGAGUAAAAAAGACUGCACAGGUUUGACUUUUUGACUCUCAUUUCCUCUU